ACGGAAGGCAGCAGUUGGGAAUAUUGCACAAUGGGGGAAACCCUGAUGCAGCAACGCCACGUGUGGGAAGAAGCAUUUCGGUGUGUAAACCACUGUCGUGAGGGAAUAAUGCUUGGUCUCGGCCAAGUUGAAUGUACCUCGAAAGGAAGCACCGGCAAACUUCGUUCCAGCAGCCGCGGUAAUACGAGGGGUGCAAGCGUUGUUCGGAAUCACUGGGCGUAAAGGGAGCGCAGGCGGAGAUGCAAGCAGUGUGUGCAAUACCGGGGCCCAACCCCGGAACUGCAGACUGAACUGUUGCUCUUGGAUAGUUCAGGGGCAAGCGGAAUUCCUGGUGUAGCGGUGGAAUGCGUAGAGAUCAGGAAGAACACCGAUGGCGAAGGCAGCUUGCUGGGGACUUAUCGACGCUGAGGCUCGAAAGUGCGGGUAGCAAACAGGAUUAGAUACCCUGGUA
rnacentral:rRNA from 1 species